UACAGAAAAAUCCAAUUUAAGUAAGAUUCAAAUAAGUAUAUAAAGAAUAUUCUGCAAUAAUUAGUCUGUAAAAAUUUUAAAAAUUCGCGUUUAAUUUUAUCUACUCAUUUGUCAGAAAGGUUCAAUAUAAAAUAUUUAGAAGAUUUGGGGAUGUUCGAGCAAGCAAAUAACUGCGGCAAUAUUGCAACCCUGAUGUUUUUUUGCAGAUACUCAGCUGAUACUUAAUCAAAUAUUUUGCGCGGCGUGCAGGUAGAAGUGGAAUUUAAUAAGUCUAAAAAAUGAAUUUUUUAAUAAAUUUAACAGUAGAUAACAUGGUGGAUAGCGAGUGCAGUUUGCUUCUUAAAUAUAAAAAAGCAAGAAAACAAAGCUUUUUACGUAAAAAAAAGUGGCUUAUGACCGAAAUUUUAAAGAAGAGGGCGAUAGUAAAAUCGCAAAACUUCUUUAAAACAAUUCAAAUUUAUCCUUCGGAUAUAUAUUUAUCACAUUUUCGGAUGUCUCGUGAAACAUUUGGUGUAAGUUUUCUGAUUUAAAUAAUCGCCUAAAUAAACACAUACAUAAAUACUUCGUAGGAAUUAAAGAGCGGCUUGGAACCUUUUUGGUUAUCGUCACGCGGGGAAUAUUCAAUGGAUCAGGCUUUGCAUAUUACCUUGUGGAAGCUGAGUAAUAGUAGAGUUACUUAUCGUGAACUAUCAGAUAAGUUUGAUGUUUCAAAAGGGACUGCCCACAAAAUUUUUCUUAAAACGAUUAAUGCAAUUUGCAAGUUAAAAAAUGAAAUAUGUUGGCCAUCAAUUUCCCAGCAGCAAACAGUAAUGGAGCGUUUCCAAGCGAGCCGGCCGAAUGCAUUUCCUUUCGUAGUUGGCUGUUUGGAUGGGACACAUUUUAAAAUAAACACACCCUUCUUCGAUGCAAUUAGCUACUAUGACCGAAAGGGGAACUAUUCCAUUAUUAUGCAGGGCAUAUGCGACAGCACAUUUCGUUUCUUGGAUGUUUUCAUCGGAUACCCAGGGAGCUGCCAUGACGCCAACGUAUGGAAAAAUAGUCCGAUAUACAAAGGAAUUACGUCUGGAGAGAUACAACUUGCAAAAGAUGCUAUAAUUUUAGCUGACUCAGCUUAUCCUCUUACGAAAUAUUUGAUCGCGCCUUAUAGAGAUAAUGGACAUCUGUUGAGAGAGGAGAAACAAUUUAAUUAUUAUUUAAGUUCAACUCGAGUAUUCAUAGAACAAGCUUUUGGGAUUUUGAGGGGAAAGUUCAAAAUUUUAAAUCAUAUUGAUAUUCAAAAUAUGGAAGAUGUAUCAAAAGUAGUAUUAGCUUGAGUAAUUCUGCAUAAUUUAAUAAUGCGGAACAAUUUUAAUGAUCCUGAAGUCAAUUAUCUAUUGGAAAAUUUGGAAACACAUAAUGAAAACGAUGCUGAAACGCCUGACAACAUAAAUGAUACUAACGAAGGUAUUAUCAGAAGAAAUAAUUUAAAAAUGUUGUUUGUUUCUUAAAUUAUAUAUUUUUUAAUAAAAAUGUUAGUAAAUAAAUA